UACGUAGGGGGCUAGCGUUGUCCGGAAUCAUUGGGCGUAAAGAGCGUGUAGGCGGCCCGGUAAGUCCGCUGUGAAAGUCGGGGGCUCAACCCUCGAAUGCCGGUGGAUACUGUCGGGCUAGAGUGCGGAAGAGGCGAGUGGAAUUCCUGGUGUAGCGGUGAAAUGCGUAGAUAUCUGGAGGAACACCGGUGGCGAAGGCGGCCAUCUGGCCCUUUUUGACGCUGAGGCUGCGAAAGCGUGGGGAGCAAACGGG
rnacentral:rRNA from 1 species